CAGGGGACUGUGGAAGCUAGUUGUUGUAUGUGGAGGAGGGAAUGAACUGGCCAGCUCCUCCAUUCCUCCUUGUUUUGGUAACAUCCCUGCCCUCCUGGCUACAGAACUGGACACAGUUCCCAGGCCUGGUGAAACAUCAAGCCCCCAUGGUGAACAGUCCAACAGCCAAGCGCCUGGUCCAAGCAGAAUUCGUUAAGACCAGUGUGUAGAUACACAGUGAGAGAGGCUCUCUUUCCAUGAAACUUAGGGCUACCAAGAAUUGUGUGCCAGGUGCAAUGGAGGAAACCUGACCACAAGAAGAGAAAGAGAGAAAGAAACUCCUAUAACUGAAGACUGCAGGGGUGAAAGCUCCAGCCACCUUACUCUGCAGUUGUCUCAGCUCUGCCCUCCUCUCUGUCAGCUUCUCUUCAGACUGGUUUUCCUCAUGGUAGCAAGUGUCAUUGCUCUCAUUGCCACACGCUUCCUUAUCCAAAAGAAUAUUUCUGGCCCAGCAUUCCAAGCAUGGUCCUGAGCUUCAUCGGAUUGGAGUGGGUCACAUGCCCAGUUGAACUGGUGCCAUAGCCAGAGGAAUGGAAUGUGCUGAUUGUCCAUGCCAGUCAAGGCCCCCUCCUAGAGCUGGGGUGGACUCAGCUUCCCUGAGACACCUGGGCUGCAUGGGAGAGGGGGAACACCUGAGUGAACACUGAGAGCAGUUAGGAAGGGAGGAAGGACAUGUAUACAUAUGUCAGGUAGAUCUAGCACAGGCAGUUGAUUUCCAUAUAUGCCACUGGCUUUCUAAUGCAAAUAUCUCGGACUCUGCCUGAGGGUUCUCCCCUAGCCUCAGCAGUAAGCUCAGCCAAUGCACAGGGCAGACCAGAAAUACAGGUGAUUUAACACCACAGGGAGCAACCUUCAACACAGUGUGGGCAAGGGUUUGUGGAUAUAUACCCCCAAUUUCUCACCCCUCCGGGUAAGACAUCUUGAAGGUGAGUUCUCUAUCUCUAGCUCUGUCUCAGAGAGCCCCAGCAGGACUGGGCUCCAGGUCUCACAGCAGUAACCUGUAUUGGCUUCCUCCUGCCACUUCUCCAUCACACUUCCCCGGUCCCUUACUGGUGCUUCCUGGGGUUACUUCCCAAUAAACUGCUGACAUUCAGACUCUUAUCCCAGGGUCGGCUUUUGCAGGAACCCACGUGAAGACAGGAGCAACUCAUCUGCGCCCUUGGCUUUAAAACUCUUCAGGAGGCUCCUCCGUGUGUGAGAAGACUGUACUACAGGUCACCACCUUGGGAAGUCUUCCUUAUUGCCCCAGUUCAUGCUCCUUUCACAUUCUGCAAACAGACUCACCCACGUCCCCGUGAAGUUUCGCGUCCUCGCUAGUGGUUGCUUACAUGCCUAUGACAUCUCCUUCAGAGAAGCGCCCUACCUCUAACAUCUUUUCCUCCUUGUAUUAAAAAUAGGCUUUAUCUUUUGUAUAAUCAAAGCUGUGCCCAAUCAAAAAGGUCAAUCAAAAGGAAUAAUGUAAAAAUAAAAAAAGACAUUCUCAUUAUCCAGGGAUUGGGGCCAUUACACCUUGGAGAAUAUGGAUCAAUUCACAUUAUCAACAUAUGUACUU
rnacentral:lncRNA from 10 species